GAGGAUAUAGCUUAAAGAGAAAGCCUUUGCCUUUUAAGCAAAUGAAUAAGAGUUUGAUUCUCUUUAUUCUCA
rfam:Pneumocystis murina mitochondrion, complete genome.